rnacentral:lncRNA from 1 species
UAUCAGAAUUUAUUACAUGUAAUAGAACAUUGAUAACUGGUAUAAGCUGCAUCACAUCAAGUGACAAAUGACUUAUGAAACACACGUCUGGUAUAUCAAAUUAUAAGACUGGUACCUUUGAUAACUAUCAUGUCUGUGCAAGAAGAUGGAAAAAAAAUCCUUGUAAUUACAAUCAGAAGACGUUUGUAAGUGAACCAUAAUCUGAUAUACAACUCCACAUACAAUUAACAAGACAGUACAUAUAGAAAUAAUGAAUGUCCAUAACAUAGAAAAUCAAUUUUUAAAAUAGUUUUUAAAAAUUUUAAUGAGAUAUGAAAUUGCAAUUUAAUCUGAUACCAAAAACAUUUACAAGACUAGAAAUAAUCUUGUGUCCUGCUUUUCUCAUUCUUCACUAAUAAAAAUGACACAUUUUACAAAUAUAAAGGCUGCACCUCAACUUUUAAUUACAUUCAGUAUGAAUAUAUUGUCAAGGUCACAGUGUGGGAACGGAACUGUACGGUGUUUUAAUGUUUUGGUCAUUCGGGAGACUGUCAAGCGGGGCUCCGACAUUCGAGAGCAUUUUCAGCUACGGAGAAGGUAAGUGUUUUAUAUAAUUACUAUCUCUGGGCUCACUUUUAAUGCAUAUGAGAAAAGUAUUGCAUCUGUCAAUAAUAUUCAAACAUUCCAGGGGUCAGAAAAUAUUCUAGAGGCA